UCGCGGCGGCGAGCAGGAAGGAGGGCGAGCGCAGAGCUGCCGUUUGCGCGGGGCCGCCUGUGCGCCCGGGGCCAUGGCCCUGAGCAGGAGGGAAGUGUUUAUAAGGAAAGUACUGAAACGACUCUAUGCUGAAACUCCAUCAUCUCUUGCGCAUGCUUCGAGUAGAGAAGAGGAGGCGGUUCUCAGAAAUCUGGGCUCAAAAUCCAAAGAAAAUAACUUGGAUAAUGUUCAGACGUCAUCAGCAGAUGCUAGCACAUCAACUGUUACACCCUGCGAAUCAUUGCAAGGCAGUGACAAUACAAUUCUGUCUCCAAGGAGAAUGUACACAGUGAAUCUUCCUCCGGAGGGUUAUGUUGCAGUUACUCCAGAUGCUGUUAGUAUUUCAGUUUCUGAAGACUCCGACGGUAGUGCUGACUCAACAGAGGAGGAAUAUCAAGGACAAACAAAGAGAAAGCGCAUUCGAAGGAAGAAACAAAAGAGCAGUUUGCAAAACUCUAAUAAUUUACAUGGAGAACAAACAGAAUCUGGAAUGCAAGAGACUCUCGUUCAAGAUAAUUUACAGCUGCAGCAGAUACACAGUCCCAAAAUAAGCAAAAACAAAAAGAGGAAAAUGAAAAAGAAGCGACAGAAAGAAAAAAUGAGAGCAGCUGGCUUGGUAACAAAAACCACCGGUGUGGAUUUUACAUAUCAGCCUGACAAAAACAACAGAGAAGAAGCAGCAGGCUUAAAAGACAUAGAUGAAAAGGCAGAUAGCAUUCUGGACUUCCUGCAGGCAACACAACAAAUUUAUUUUGCUGACAAUAAAUCAGAAUGCAUGGAUUCUGCUGUAAAUUCAGCAACUGCCCAAGAGCUUUUGCAAUGUCUUGAGUCUCGCACCAUCUCUUCUUCAGAUGUGACCCUUCUACAUCAGCUGAAAUCCCUUGUAUUGCUACAGGAUAUUGAGAGAUUGAAGGAUGCUUUGAAACAAUUCCAAGAACAAUCCAUGAUGCCUCCUGAUCAUACCAAGACAGUCACGUCUCUGUUUCACUACUGGAUUACAGAUAUCCUUCCUGUGAAGAACAGGAAAUAAAGCCUUGCCUGUGUCCGUAUGUGCAGGGUUAAAAUGUAAUAUACAGACUCUUAACCAAGUAGCAAUUGUUCGGGAAGAGCAGUGUCAAUACACAUUCGACACCUUCAGGCACUGAACUGUAGCUGUGACUUUUCAUUGAGAUGCUGUAUGCCUCAGUCCCACAUCCGGAGAAUGAAGAAAAUAUCACUUGAAUGUGAAGCACCUAGAUACUCUAUUGACAGACCCUGGCAGAAAUUAAAUCACUUCAUCCUCAGAUUGAGGUUUGAACGUCAUGCGGUAAAUGAGGUCUAGGAACUGUAAAAAAAGGAUAUGCAGCAACUCAUUAGAGGCUGAAAUUCUACGAAGGCUCAGAAAUCAUGGUUAUUCCUCUCCGGAGAAUGACACCUGGGUAUAUAAGGUUGUUGCAGACUCAAGCUGCGGGAAAAAUCGUUAUCAACUCAUCAGACACGCUGCUGCAACGGACGGCGUUGCUGCUGGGAAUGUUUGGGAUCAGUAUAUCCAGCUACAGCACACACCAGCUAACUCAAAAUAAGAGACUUCCCUUAAUCCGUUAAGCUGCGCUGCGAUGAGACCCAAGAAGUAAAAGACUUCUGUCAGUAGUGCUGAUCAGUGGCUUUUCUGCCGCAGUUACCCCUGUGGAGGUAAAGAGACACUUUGCAGCCGUGAUUUCUGCAUGCAAAGUUAAAAAGAUGGAAGAAUUACAGACUUCUUCAAGAAAGAAUAAAAUAACAACUAUCAGAGGCAUCAGAUUUCCGAAUAAAAUGCACUGUCUGUAAAUACAACGGCCUUCUUUUGUGAUCCAGUGUAUAACUAGAGAGAGAUCUAAAGGUAUAAAAUGCAGUUAAAAUCGGAGUAGGUGUAAACGGAUCGAUGGGGGUGCCGUGCUUCGUCAGUGUCACCCUGUUGCAUCUUUUGCACAUUGACUCCUGUGCAAAGACUGGUUUUGAAAAGGGGAAGUUAGAAGCAAUAUAUUCCUCAUGACGAGAGUUAGACCAAAUAAAAAUCAUCUCUCAUAGACUCUUUGUACUGUUAUAUCUAACUAGAUAUGAACAUCUGUUUGUAUUACAGAAUUUGUGCACUCUAACCGUUCCUGCUGAACCUUAAACAUUUCUUGAUGCCUUUUGUGUAGAAAUGUUUGUAUAUUCUAACACAAGCUGGCAGCCGCUGCAACAGCAGCGAUGGCCGGCGGCUGCACCAUCCGCAUGGUGUGGGGAAGGAACCAUGGCACCAGAGCAGGUGACUUCAUAGUUCUCUACAGAAACUCUCUACUCUAGAAAGUAUCAGUAAAAAUACUGAGUUGGGUUUCCUUGCAGAGCUCAAUAUCUGAUCAUGUUCCUCUGCAAAGCCCGCUCAUCCUGUAAUAUCAAUUCUAAUUAAAAUGAAAAUAGAGAUUGACCCUUUUUCCCCUCCUUUUCACUUGUUUUCUUGUUCUUCUCACUCACUGAAUGCAAUAGCUUAUUCAGGAAUGUUCUCUUACUGUCGGUUUGCAUUUUUCCAACUGUUUCUGAUGUUUUAUGUAAACGUGGCUUUGUAGACUCUUCUGUACAUAUGUUAGCAUUUAAAACCCUUUGU